UGGGGAAUAUUGGACAAUGGGGGGAACCCUGAUCCAGCCAUGCCGCGUGUGUGAAGAAGGCCUUAUGGUUGUAAAGCACUUUAAGCGAGGAGGAGGGUACUGGUAUUAAUACUACCAGCUACUGGACGUUACUCGCAGAAUAAGCACCGGCUAACUCUGUGCCAGCAGCCGAGGUAAUACAGAGGGUGCGAGCGUUAAUCGGAUUUACUGGGCGUAAAGCGUGCGUAGGCGGCUAAUUGAGUCGGAUGUGAAAUCCCCGAGCUUAACUUGGGAAUUGCAUUCGAUACUGGUUAGCUAGAGUGUGGGAGAGGAUGGUAGAAUUCCAGGUGUAGCGGUGAAAUGCGUAGAGAUCUGGAGGAAUACCGAUGGCGAAGGCAGCCAUCUGGCCUAACACUGACGCUGAGGUACGAAAGCAUGGGGAGCAAACAGG
rnacentral:rRNA from 1 species